rnacentral:lncRNA from 1 species
CUGUUCACACGUACAGUAUCAAAAUCAAUUUCCAAAACUAACCUAAACUGUUCACAGGUACAGUAUCGAAAUCAUCCACCCUCACCAAAUCGAAAUCAAUUUCCUGAACCUAAUCAAUUUCCAAAUCGAAAUCAUCUACCAUCACCAAAUCGAAAUCAAUUUCUUGAACCUAAUCAAUUUCGAUUAGGAAAUCAUUCACCAAAACCAUAUCGAAAUCAAAUUCUAUUCACCUUCAAGUCAUGGAUUUCUAUUCACCUUCGAUCUUAAUCACUAUAAACCCCCCCCCCCCCCCCCCUACAACUUAUCACCUCCAACAAAAAAUUGGAAGAAGGCAGGUUGUUCAUCUAUAUAUCCGACGAACACUACAUCAGGUAAUUUUUAUUUAAUAUUUAAUAUUUUUUUAUAGUUUAAUGUAUUUUAAUUUUUUAUAGUUCUUCCAUUGUUCAUCUAUAUAUCAUGUAUUUCAAUAUUUAUUCAGUAUUUAGUUGAGAUUAUUUUUGUUCAUUGACAAAUAAUUUUGAUUCAAAUGAGUGUUUUAAUCUUACAAUUGAUUUGAAUUUAUUAGGAAAAUAAUUACAAUAAAGAAGCUGAACAAGUAACAAUGAUAAUGGAUGAAGAGAGAAGAGUUCAUCAUGACUGUAUCAAUGCAUCGAAUCCAUAUCAUGAAUGUAAUGAAUACUGUUUUCAAAGGAAUGCCGAAGUUAUGAAACGUAAACAACAACCAUUACAACAGCAACAACAUAAGCUAUCAGGUAACUUUCAUGUUUCGUAUGUUAUAUGUUUACUCCUUCAGCAGUUCAGCAUUCUCUUUUAUAUAUAUUUUUUUGGUGGUGUGUGUGUGUUGGGGGGGGGGGGGUUCUCUUUUGUAUAGUAUUAAGUUUUAACAAAGACAAGUCUAAUACAAACAGGCAGCGGCAACAGUAGAAACCUUCAAAACAGCUCUUACAGCUUAGACUAUUAUAGGUCAUAAUACAACGAAAAACAUCAAACAAGGUUUUCUUAAUUAAACAGAAGCAAGAGGGUGGUGGACUGGUGGUGUGUAGGAUAAGAGAAGAAGAAAGGUGUAUGUUAGUAGUGUGUGUGUGUGUAUGACCUGGUGCGCAUAUUCAAUAUUGAAAGUGAGUUUUUAGUGGAAAUAUUAUAUCCUAAAGCUUAUCCAAUCAAAUCUCAUUUGCUACAUAGGUGAUUGAAUUUGUGUUUUUGAUAAAUCGAUCGAAACCACUGAGAUCACAAUUAACAUAAUUGAGUAACUCUGUGAACUAUAUCAAUUUAAAACAUCUGAGAUCACGAUUAAAAUAAUUGAUAUUGAACUUUCAGAUUUUACGACACAUCGAGAAGAAGACAACAAGAAAAAGAUAAAAGCAGUAGCAGCGAGUGAAGAACAUAUAUGCUUCACCCAAAAAUAUGGUACAUGCAUCUUACAAAUGCAUGUAAACAUGGCGAGAUGUAUGACAAAUUAUUUUCCUAAUCAGAUGGACUCAAAGUAUUUGAAGGAUUUCAUGAAGUACGUUAAAGAACCAAAGAGUUGUGGAAUUCAAUAUUAUCUGCCAAGUGCCAAAGAAGAUACAGAAAUGGAGCAAAUUGAUGAUGAUCUUAUAGCAUAUGGUAAUGAUUAUCCGAACUACAAAGACAGAAAACCAAAAGGAAUCAUACUCAAUCAUAUCGACGCACUAUUUAAUCGAAAGUAUUUGAAGGAUUUGAUGAAAUACAUUAAAGAUGGACCGAAGUAUCUUGGAGUUCAAGAUUAUCUGCCAAGUGCCAAAGAAGAUACAAAAAUGGAGCAAAUUGAUGAUUAGUAAAUCUCUGCAAGCUUUAUCGGUUAGACUAUAAAUGUUAUAUUCUUCAUUGAAAUAGAUAUCACAUUAUGUACUCUGUCACUUUUAUUUUUAUUUGAAUUAACUUAUUUAUAUUCAUUAUACACAUGGUCUUUUUUGUAGUUAUUUUUUUUAUUGAAGCCUUAUUUAAAAAAUAAUUUCACA